CUCCAAGGAACUCCAGGCCUUCUCAGCAGUCCAUGGGUUGGUGCAGAUGAUGGAGUCUUCUCCAAGAUCCCCAGUAUUGAUUUCUCAUCCCAGAACUCUUCACACUUGGUCCCAAGGCAUCUGUCUGGCUAAGAGAAGAGAUCAGAGUUUUAUUGAAAAUGACUCAGAGGAAAAUGCAGAUUCUGGGACAAAAAAAAUGAGAAUUGAAGAGACAAGCAUUUGGUUGGGAGAAUUUUUCUCUCUGGCCUCAUAAUAAUUGAACCUAGAAGAGAAUGUUCCACCGCUUUUCUGAUGAUGAGAGUCAAUAUUUUCAAAAAUAAUUCCACCUACGAUAAUUGCCACAAACAUGAGAAGUCUACUUGCUUCCAGGGGAAUAGUUCAUCAAAGCUCUCUCAUUAGGAGUCCUGAGCACUAGAGGGGAGAAUCUCUGCUGUGCUGACAUUUGCCCUGCCUAUUGUUAAAGCCCCAAGGAAAAAGGCCAUCAUUCUUUAUUAGCUUCAUUACAGAACCUGUAAGACAUUGCAAACUUCCUUAUCCUCAGAAUUCUUAAUUUCCUCUUAAUGGUUAAAUGCACAUUUUACUACAAUCUUUUUGAGACUCAUUGUAUCUUCUAUUUUGUUAUAUAUACUAUAAAACAAUUGAGAUGUUUACAACUAGCCAAUAAACAUGUAUUAAUUGUUGAUUCAAACUCAUGUCUGAUAAAAUUGUAAAGGGAAAUUUUCUCUUUGUGUAAUUUUAUUUGUACAGCUUGAACAAAUAGCUCACACUUUAAAUGCCUUCAAAUGUGUUUUUCAAUCAAUCAAUCAAUAUUUACUGAAAGGUUUCUGCGUACUCAGUAAGGCACUGGAUGAAUGAUAAUAGGGUUGAGCAAAUCCUUGAAAUCUAGUUUUAUCCCAGUUUUGUAGAAAACAUUUCUCCUCCUAUAUUUAUUACAAUUUCGAGAUGACUCUCAUGUUUGCAUCAGAUGUGACAAACACUUUUGUAAUGUGGUUUGAGAUAAUCAUUUAAUAUUGUACCACUUUUUAAAAAUAAAGUA